AUUUAAUGAUGACAAGUAAUAAUUUUGGGUAAUUUACGUCUGAAAAUGAUUGAUGAAAAAAUUCCAGACUAGAUCUGACAAAU
rnacentral:snoRNA from 1 species